rnacentral:rRNA from 1 species
GGUUAAGCGACUAAGCGUACACGGUGGAUGCCCUGGCAGUCAGAGGCGAUGAAGGACGUGCUAAUCUGCGAUAAGCGUCGGUAAGGUGAUAUGAACCGUUAUAACCGGCGAUUUCCGAAUGGGGAAACCCAGUGUGAUUCGUCACACUAUCAUUAACUGAAUCCAUAGGUUAAUGAGGCGAACCGGGGGAACUGAAACAUCUAAGUACCCCGAGGAAAAGAAAUCAACCGAGAUUCCCCCAGUAGCGGCGAGCGAACGGGGAGCAGCCCAGAGCCUGAAUCAGUGUGUGUGUUAGUGAAAGCGUCUGGAAAGGCGUGCGAUACAGGGUGACAGCCCCGUACACAAAAAUGCACAUACUGUGAGCUCGAUGAGUAGGGCGGGACACGUGGUAUCCUGUCUGAAUAUGGGGGACCAUCCUCCAAGGCUAAAUACUCCUGACUGACCGAUAGUGAACCAGUACCGUGAGGGAAAGGCGAAAAGAACCCCGGCGAGGGGAGUGAAAAAGAACCUGAAACCGUGUACGUACAAGCAGUGGGAGCACGCUUAGGCGUGUGACUGCGUACCUUUGUAUAAUGGGUCAGCGACUUAUAUUCUGUAGCAAGGUUAACCGAAUAGGGGAGCCGAAGGGAAACCGAGUCUUAACUGGGCGUUAAGUUGCAGGGUAUAGACCCGAAACCCGGUGAUCUAGCCAUGGGCAGGUUGAAGGUUGGGUAACACUAACUGGAGGACCGAACCGACUAAUGUUGAAAAAUUAGCGGAUGACUUGUGGCUGGGGGUGAAAGGCCAAUCAAACCGGGAGAUAGCUGGUUCUCCCCGAAAGCUAUUUAGGUAGCGCCUCGUGAAUUCAUCUCCGGGGUAGAGCACUGUUUCGGCAAGGGGGUCAUCCCGACUUACCAACCCGAUGCAAACUGCGAAUACCGGAGAAUGUUAUCACGGGAGACACACGGCGGGUGCUAACGUCCGUCGUGAAGAGGGAAACAACCCAGACCGCCAGCUAAGGUCCCAAAGUCAUGGUUAAGUGGGAAACGAUGUGGGAAGGCCCAGACAGCCAGGAUGUUGGCUUAGAAGCAGCCAUCAUUUAAAGAAAGCGUAAUAGCUCACUGGUCGAGUCGGCCUGCGCGGAAGAUGUAACGGGGCUAAACCAUGCACCGAAGCUGCGGCAGCGACGCUUAUGCGUUGUUGGGUAGGGGAGCGUUCUGUAAGCCUGUGAAGGUGUGCUGUGAGGUAUGCUGGAGGUAUCAGAAGUGCGAAUGCUGACAUAAGUAACGAUAAAGCGGGUGAAAAGCCCGCUCGCCGGAAGACCAAGGGUUCCUGUCCAACGUUAAUCGGGGCAGGGUGAGUCGACCCCUAAGGCGAGGCCGAAAGGCGUAGUCGAUGGGAAACAGGUUAAUAUUCCUGUACUUGGUGUUACUGCGAAGGGGGACGGAGAAGGCUAUGUUGGCCGGGCGACGGUUGUCCCGGUUUAAGCGUGUAGGCUGGUUUUCCAGGCAAAUCCGGAAAAUCAAGGCCGAGGCGUGAUGACGAGGCACUACGGUGCUGAAGCAACAAAUGCCCUGCUUCCAGGAAAAGCCUCUAAGCAUCAGGUAACAUCAAAUCGUACCCCAAACCGACACAGGUGGUCAGGUAGAGAAUACCAAGGCGCUUGAGAGAACUCGGGUGAAGGAACUAGGCAAAAUGGUGCCGUAACUUCGGGAGAAGGCACGCUGAUACGUAGGUGAAGCGACUUGCUCGUGGAGCUGAAAUCAGUCGAAGAUACCAGCUGGCUGCAACUGUUUAUUAAAAACACAGCACUGUGCAAACACGAAAGUGGACGUAUACGGUGUGACGCCUGCCCGGUGCCGGAAGGUUAAUUGAUGGGGUUAGCGCAAGCGAAGCUCUUGAUCGAAGCCCCGGUAAACGGCGGCCGUAACUAUAACGGUCCUAAGGUAGCGAAAUUCCUUGUCGGGUAAGUUCCGACCUGCACGAAUGGCGUAAUGAUGGCCAGGCUGUCUCCACCCGAGACUCAGUGAAAUUGAACUCGCUGUGAAGAUGCAGUGUACCCGCGGCAAGACGGAAAGACCCCGUGAACCUUUACUAUAGCUUGACACUGAACAUUGAGCCUUGAUGUGUAGGAUAGGUGGGAGGCUUUGAAGUGUGGACGCCAGUCUGCAUGGAGCCGACCUUGAAAUACCACCCUUUAAUGUUUGAUGUUCUAACGUGGACCCGUGAUCCGGGUUGCGGACAGUGUCUGGUGGGUAGUUUGACUGGGGCGGUCUCCUCCUAAAGAGUAACGGAGGAGCACGAAGGUUGGCUAAUCCUGGUCGGACAUCAGGAGGUUAGUGCAAUGGCAUAAGCCAGCUUGACUGCGAGCGUGACGGCGCGAGCAGGUGCGAAAGCAGGUCAUAGUGAUCCGGUGGUUCUGAAUGGAAGGGCCAUCGCUCAACGGAUAAAAGGUACUCCGGGGAUAACAGGCUGAUACCGCCCAAGAGUUCAUAUCGACGGCGGUGUUUGGCACCUCGAUGUCGGCUCAUCACAUCCUGGGGCUGAAGUAGGUCCCAAGGGUAUGGCUGUUCGCCAUUUAAAGUGGUACGCGAGCUGGGUUUAGAACGUCGUGAGACAGUUCGGUCCCUAUCUGCCGUGGGCGCUGGAGAACUGAGGGGGCUGCUCCUAGUACGAGAGGACCGGAGUGGACGCAUCACUGGUGUUCGGGUUGUCAUGCCAAUGGCACUGCCCGGUAGCUAAAUGCGGAAGAGAUAAGUGCUGAAAGCAUCUAAGCACGAAACUUGCCCCGAGAUGAGUUCUCCCUGACCCUUUAAGGGUCCUGAAGGAACGUUGAAGACGACGACGUUGAUAGGCCGGGUGUGUAAGCGCAGCGAUGCGUUGAGCUAACCGGUACUAAUGAACCGUGAGGCUUAACCUU